rnacentral:rRNA from 1 species
GAUGAACGCUGGCGGUAUGCUUAACACAUGCAAGUCGAACGAACUCUUCGGAGUUAGUGGCGGACGGGUGAGUAACGCGUGAGAAUCUGCCUCUGGGUUCGGGACAACAGUUGGAAACGACUGCUAAUACCGGAUGUGCCUACGGGUGAAAGAUUUAUUGCCUAGAGAUGAGCUCGCGUUGGAUUAGCUAGUUGGUGUGGUAAGAGCGCACCAAGGCGACGAUCUAUAGCUGGUCUGAGAGGACGAUCAGCCACACUGGGACUGAGACACGGCCCAGACUCCUACGGGAGGCAGCAGUGGGGAAUUUUCCGCAAUGGGCGAAAGCCUGACGGAGCAAUACCGCGUGAGGGAGGAAGGCUCUUGGGUUGUAAACCUCUUUUCUCAAGGAAGAACACAAUGACGGUACUUGAGGAAUAAGCAUCGGCUAACUCCG